rnacentral:tRNA from 1 species
AUUUAUAUAGUUUAAAUAAAACAUUACAUUUUCAUUGUAAAAAUAAAAUAAAACUUUUUUAUAAAUA